AAAAGAAUAGCAUCCAUAAUUAGCUAUAAUAACAUAACAUAUUAAUAAUGGAAAAAAUAUUCACAAACGAGCAAGGUAGAAAAUUUACCACUAUUAUACAUUCAUCAUCUGUUGUAGAAGUAUGUAUCCUCCAUGGGAAGUUAUCUUCAUCUUUUCUUGAACAAUAUGCCCUUAACCUAUUUGGUGCACUCUUCUCAGUAUUGUACUCAAAUUCAUGUUUGAUUGCAUGCUUAUUCAGUGCCAACUUAAACUAUGUUGUAUUAGGAUAUCUGGUAACAACUGCCAUUGGAGGGUCUUCUUUAUAUCAUACUCUACAUUUCGAAGAUGAGUUGCCUCAUGGCCUACCAACUCCUCAUCAGCCUCUACUUCAGAGCAUGUCUCAAUCUCCAUCUCCAGUUCACUAACAUCCUCACCAUUAUCAUUAGAAACAGAAUUGUUGUCCACUUCUUUGUCUUUAUCAUGACCAACAAUCACAUGAACAGGUGCAUCCUCUAAGUACAUUAGCUCCUCAUCAACACCUACAUGCUCCUUCUCUGGCAAUGGGUUGCAAAGAUAGCUAUCCUCAUCUUCCUAUGUGUUGGUGUUAGCCAGCCUUUGCACAUCAUUAGGCUAGUCCCAGUGCAAGGUUUCAUUGCACUGUUUCCAAGGAUGCCACAUCAUCCCAUGAGGUGUAUUCUCAUGAAUGAAACAGGGAGUCCCAGUGCACAGUUUCAUUUCAUGAUUUCAUAGGAUGCCCAUGACAUUUAAUUGUGAAGCAUGUGAUUGGAUAUGGUUAGAUGAAAUGAAACUCUAUAGCCCCCAAUGCAAGUUUCAAUAGGUUUCAUAGUCUUGGAAACAAUGUAUACACAGUUUCAUCCUGAUGAAACUCCUUCCCUCUCUCACUUCAUAACUACCAUGCCAUGUCAUCACAUAUGCUGAUGUGUCACCGUAUUUAAUGUGCAUGAAACCUCUAUGAAACUUCCACUGGGAUUAGCCUUAUG
rnacentral:lncRNA from 1 species